rnacentral:lncRNA from 1 species
GGGGGGGCCCGGGGGGCCCGAUCCGCGGCGGGGCGGAGCGGCGGGGGGGGGUCCCCGGCGAGCUCCCCCCGCUCCGGGCAGCCUCGUCCCGGCGGGGCGGAGCGGGGCGCUGCGCGGUGGCUCGGCGGCUUUGCGCGCAAGUUGCGCGGCCGCGGGGCUCGGAGGCAGCGCGCAGCCCCCGGGAGGUGCCCGCAGCCUCCUCCUGCCCCGGGGCUGCGGGGCAGGGCUGGGGCUCCCCGGGGGCUGCGCGUCCUUCCCGUGCGGCUGCUCCUUCUGUAAUUAGCGCGGGGUAAUUAGCGCCGAUGUCCCGUCCCCGAAAGCGCAGGGGCCGAGGGUUUGUCCCGCUCCGCCAGGGUUUUGCUUUUGUCCCGGCGGGGAGCGGGGCGCGGGGCUCGGGGAGCUCCCCGCAGGCACAAAGCCGGCCCCGGAGCAGGGCAGCAGCUCGGGGCCGGGCAGCCCAAAGGCUUUCCCAUCCUAGGAGGUAGGCAGAAAAGAUGAAAAAAAAUAAAAUAAAAAAGAAACUGUUUAGAGUAAAAUAAAGGAAAUCCGUUUCGAGGACCCAGAGGAGAAGCGAGAACGUUAAAAAUUAACAGCGGAAACAGGAAACACUUCGCUGGGUAAACACAGGCUCCCAAUUUCGCCGUAUGAAAGCCGGGAGGGCGCAAGGUGCUCGCCGGCACCGCGGCCACCCGCGCCCCGCCGCGGUACCUGCCUGCGGCCUCCCGAGCGGGGCCGGGCCGGGAAGCGGGGCCGAGGCGGGGAGAGCCCCGGUCCUCGCGAACCGCUGUGGUGGCAAAGAUCGGAACUGCAGGAGCUGCCGAGCGCCGGGAGCCGAGCCGUCCGCCAGAGAUGCGGAGAAGGGAAUAGCAGGGCUCCCCGCCGCCGGGGAGACGGGACGGGAGAGCCGGGGGCGAGAAUUUUGUGUGCCUCCCUCCCGUUCCUGCCCGUCUUCUGCUAAAGCCUGGGAGCUCCUUGCGCUCCUUCUCCCUCUCCUUCCCGGGGCAGCACCGCCGGGAGCGCUGCCCCCGAUCCGGCCGGGGCUGCAGGCAGCCGGAGCCGGCAGGAAAUUUUGGAUGGGCGACCACGGAAAAACCUCGCUUUGCAGCGGGCACGCACCGCGCCUGCCCCUGCGUUUGUCCAGCCGGACUGUGGAACAGGCUCCUAAAAACGCAGCACACUUCGGCUUCCAUCCCAAAUCCCAGCAAACGCAAUGUCGGGUGGCGAAAAGAUCCCUCUUGCAAGCGGAUAGCCAGGAUUUCUUUGCAAACAGCGGGGACUGA